rnacentral:lncRNA from 1 species
UUGCGUUUAUUUGUUUCUAUUUUUUCCUCCGUCAAUUUAGGUAAACUUAGGAACACAGAGCAUAGGACAGGGAUUAGUUCUUAACUUUUUUUUUUUUUUUUUGGUAGUCAUCAUGACCAAGGACCAGACUAUACAUAUAAGACUAUAAACAAAUAAGGAAGGGAAGGAGGGUGGGAGGGAGGGAGGGAGGAAAGAAGGGAGGGAGGAAGGAAGGAAGGGAGGGAGGGAGGGAGGGAGGGAGGAAGAGAGGGAAGGAGGGAAAGAGGAAGAGAAGGAAGAAAGAAGGAAGAAGCAGACUCCUUAGCAUGUAGGGGGCAUGUAAACCAAAAACACUUAACUUGACUCCUACAGAUCAUUGAGGCAGAAUCCGAUUAGUUCUUCACCAGUGUCUCUGUUCCCUUCAUCUUUGGCAUACUUCUAAAUUGCAUUCGCCAAUUUCACGUGAGGACAUGUGGCUAAUUCCCCACGGAAUGUCAGCAGAAGGGAUGUGUGUUACUUCUAGGAACGGCCCCUAAAAUUUCCUGCCCUGUUGCUCAGGUUUCCUCCCCUUUCUCCUGCUGGAUACAUGCAAAGGAUCGAGUGGAGGUCUCCAAGGCCCUGCAAGAUGGUACAGCCACACACGAAGCACCUGGGUCCCCCUUCAUAUUGGGCUGUGACAUGAGAAAGGAAGGUCAGUUUGCUCUCCUCUCCAUUACUGCAAUGCAAUUGCAGCUUCGUGGACAUUCUUCCAGUUCUUGGAAAAUAUUUGGAUCUUGGUUCCACUGAAGGCCUUCACACAUGUUCUAUUGUCUCCCUGUAAGUCUGCUGCCCAUGCCUUUCAUGACUAAGAACUGAUUCUCCAGAUCACAACCAAACUGCUACCUCCUCAGAGAGGUCUUCCUGGAUUACUCACUCAACCCCCACCUUUUCUGUCAGCCUGAUGCUCUGCUCUCUAACCCUACUCUUUCUCUGAAGACUUGGACUUAAUGUAUGUUUUACACACAUAGAAGUUGCAAUUUUUGUAAAAAAGGAAACAUCAAUGAAAACAGUACUGUAGUCAUUUCCUAGUAAUUACCACAUUUCACAUUGUUAUUUUACUUUUUGUUGUUAUGCCACUUCUCUAAUG